UGGGGUGUAGCUCAGUGGUAGAGCACUUUCCUAGCAUGUGCAAGGCCCUGGGUUCAGUCCCCAGCAACACAC
rnacentral:tRNA from 1 species